UGCGAAAGAGGAAGUCUGCCCAGAGCCGGCUCUCGCUUGCUGUCUCUGCUAGAGUCAGUGAAACUCUGCGUAACCCUGAUGCCCAGCACCAGGGCCGGAUUUAGGGGCAGGCGACCGCCAGGGAUGCUGGGCUUGGGGGGCGCCAGGCUCGGGGUGCUGGUUUUGUUGUUAGCGACAAAAGGGAAAAUCGAAUGUUUGGAGUAAAAUGUUUCAGAAGAAACGUCCCCGAGGGAGGUUUUUUUUAUCGCUCGUGGUCCCUGCUCAAGCGUCUAUCGAAGAAAGGUUCGGACCAAUGAAGCACCACGAAAAGACCUGGGGGGUUCGUACGACUUUAGCAAGCAUCCGGCGGACGGGAAAACACUGCUGAGCCAUCGUACGGACCUUCCCUGGGCGCUGACGCAGGGGGACUGCUCGCACGUCAGUGGUAACGACCUCUCUGUCGAAUCGGACAACAUCCGUCCCGUUUGGCCACACGGGACGCGCCCUCCACUCCAAGUUCUCCAACACGCGCGUGGUGCAGAGCUGCAGGACACGGCUCCUAACGUGUGGGCGGCUCCGAGGGUUCUGCUCACGCGGCUGCUCACAGUCGUGUGCGGUGAGCGGAGCUUUUCCAAGCUCACGCUCAUUAAAACAGGUCUGUGAUCGCCGAUGGCCAAUGAGAGACGGACGUCGCUCGCUAUUUUAUCGCUUGAAAAUGCCAAUGGCCAGUCCUUGGCUCCCGCUCGGAUGCUGUACUUCAGUUCGGGCGGGCGAAGAAAUGGAAAGGUGGGACAGAAAGGAGAGUGAGGAGAGCAUUCAAAAGGCCCAUGAGCGGAUGAUAAAAGUCAUGGAGGAGCAAACAGAAAUGCUGAAGUCUCUCAUCACUCUUCAGUCAGAACAGAUGUGUGCUUGCCCCCCUCUGCAGCUGAUACAGAACUGUUAUCCAUGCCCUCCCCAAACUUCUUCCACACAUUCCUUUGAACUUUACGGAACAUCUCGGUAUCCUGUUCACUCCAUCCCUUCGGACAGCUUCCAAAAUGAUAGCUGGACUCACACAGGGCUAUGACAACCUCCACUGCCCUGCACUACUGCCACACUUCCCACCAAGUCUUCUUUGUGUGUUAA